rnacentral:misc_RNA from 1 species
CAAACCUCAGCCAUUACGUGCUGUACAGUGACUCCUCGGCCCCCGUCUUCCUCGCACACACGCACACACACACACACAGUACCGUGCACGCUACGGCAGACAUGGCUCGAGCUCGUUUCCUUCAGCUUCUGCUGGUGACGCUGACGCUCCUCAGUACUGCUGCACUCCCUGUCAGCGCGUGGUGGAGCAAGGGCCACAUGUCCGUGGCGCUCAUUGCGAAACGCCACAUGGGUGCGUCUCUCGUUGAAAAAGCUGAGCUGGCUGCUAAGGUGCUGUCCUUCUCUGGACCCUAUCCAAAAAGCCCAGACAUGGUGCAGACCGCACCCUGGGCGGAUGACAUCAAGACGAUCGGCCUCAAAACACUGUCGACGUGGCACUACAUCACGACGCCGUACUACACGGACGAAGACUUCACCUUGGAUGUCAGCCCCGUACAGACGGUGAACGUCGCCUCUGUCAUCCCGAUGCUGCAGACGGCGAUCGAAAAACCCACGGCCAACUCCGACGUUAUCGUCCAGUCGCUGGCGCUCUUGCUACACUUUAUGGGCGACAUCCACCAGCCACUGCACAACGUCAACCUCUUCUCUAACCAGUACCCGGAAAGCGACCUCGGCGGCAACAAGCAGCUCGUCGUUAUCGACUCCAAGGGAACCAAGAUGCUGCUGCACGCGUACUGGGACUCGAUGGCGGAGGGCAAAUCUGGUGAGGAUGUGCCGCGCCCGUUGAGCGAGGCCGACUACGACGACCUAAACAACUUUGCCGACUAUCUGGAAGCAACGUACGCGAGCACGCUGACGGAUAAGGAGAAGAAUCUCGUGGAUACUACGGAGAUAUCCAAGGAGACCUUCGACCUGGCGCUCAAGUACGCCUACCCCGGCGCCGACAAUGGCGCCACGCUCUCCAACGAGUACAAGACGAACGCCAAGAAGAUCUCGGAGCGUCAGGUGCUGCUUGCCGGCUACCGCCUGGCCAAGAUGCUGAACACGACGCUGAAGUCAGUGAGCAUGGACACUAUUCUGCAGGGCCUCAAGAGCAUCCAAAGCGAAGUGGACACGGAAAACAAGGCUGAGGUGCACAACCACUACGAUCAGAAAGGCAUCAGCGCUGCUGUGACGGCGAUUGUCGCCGUGGCACUCUUCAUCGCCGGCAUUAUCAUCGCCACCCUGGUGGUCCUGGCCCUCAAGUGCUACCUGCCGAAGCGCGACCGCUUUGGUUCCUAUGAGCACGUCGCCCUCUAGAACUGCAUUUUGGGCUGCCCUCGCGCACGCCUCGCGGUGCCUCCGGCAGAAGAAAGCAGCGUCUUUUUCCCCCUGUGCCUCCUCUCGAUCCUAUCGCGUGUCUUUCGCUCUCUCCCUUUUGGGCGCCUCUUCGCUGCCCAGCGCCGUCCUCUCCCCUCCCCCAAGC